CAAAAACAUGUCCUCUUGUUUCUUUAUAUGAGGUUUAACCUGCUCAAUGAAUUUUUAAAUGGCCGCGGUAUUUUAACUGUGCUAAGGUAGCAUAAUAAAUUGUCUUUUAAUUGGGGGCUUGAAUGAAUGGUUGGACGAAGUAUAAACUUUCUUUAAUUUAUAUUAAGAAUUUAACUUUCUAGUUAAAAGGCUGGGAUUUUUUUAUUGGACGAGAAGACCCUAUAGAUCUUUAUAUAUUCUUGUAUUUUAUUUUUUAGAUGUUAUUUUAUUUGAUAUAUGGAUAUAUUUUGUUGGGGUGACAUUAGAAUUUAAUAAACUUCUAAAUUUUAGGUUUCAUUAAUUAGUGUUUAUUUGAUCCACUUUAGUGAUUAUAAGAUUAAGUUACCUUAGGGAUAACAGCGUAAUUUUUUCAAAGAGCCCUAAUCGAUGAUAUA
rnacentral:rRNA from 1 species